GAUGAACGCUGGCGGCGUGCCUAAUACAUGCAAGUCGAGCGAACAGACGAGGAGCUUGCUCCUCUGACGUUAGCGGCGGACGGGUGAGUAACACGUGGUUAACCUACCUAUAAGACUGGGAUAACUUCGGGAAACCGGAGCUAAUACCGGAUAAUAUAUUGAACCGCAUGGUUCAAUAGUGAAAGACGGUUUUGCUGUCACUUAUAGAUGGCUCCGCGCCGCAUUAGCUAGUUGGUAAGGUAACGGCUUACCAAGGCAACGAUGCGUAGCCGACCUGAGAGGGUGAUCGGCCACACUGGAACUGAGACACGGUCCAGACUCCUACGGGAGGCAGCAGUAGGGAAUCUUCCGCAAUGGGCGAAAGCUUGACGGAGCAACGCCGCGUGAGUGAUGAAGGUUUUCGGAUCGUAAAACUCUGUUAUUAGGGAAGAACAAAUGUGUAAGUAACUAUGCACGUCUUGACGGUACCUAAUCAGAAAGCCACGGCUAACUACGUG
rnacentral:rRNA from 1 species